rnacentral:rRNA from 1 species
GCGGUGUAAAAUGAGCGUGCGUCCUAUUAGCUAGUUGGUGAGGUAAUGGCUCACCAAGGCUACGAUGGGUAGGGGUUCUUAGUGGAAGGUCCCCCACACUGGCACUGAGAUACGGGCCAGACUCCUACGGGAGGCAGCAGUAGGGAAUAUUGGUCAAUGGGCGCAAGCCUGAACCAGCCAUGCCGCGUGCAGGAUGAAGGCUCUCUGAGUUGUAAACUGCUUUUGUACAGGAGCAAAAAAAUCCCUGCGGGGGUUCUUGAGAGUACUGUAAGAAUAAGCACCGGCUAAUUCCGUGCCAGCAGCCGCGGUAAUACGGGAGGUGCAAGCGUUAUCCGGUUUUAUUGGGUUUAAAGGGUGCGUAGGCGGCUUAUUAAGUCAGUUGUGAAAUCCUAGUGCUUAACGCUAGAACUGCGAUUGAUACUAUUAGGCUUGAGUUAAGAAGAGGUAA